UACACCAGGGAAGGGAAUAUGGCUUCUCUGACAUAUCUGCUUUGUGUUCUUUAUGUUUUCAUUUCAGGAUCCUGUGGAGAGAUUAUGAUGAUCCAAUCUCCAGAUUAUAUGUCUGUGUCCCCAGGAGAUACAGUCACCAUCUCAUGUACAUCAAGUUCUGGUAUAAGCGGUUGGUUACACUGGUACCAACAGAAACCAGGACAACGGCCACAACUUCUUAUCUAUAGCACAAGCAACAGACAUACAGGAGUCCCAGACAGGUUCACUGGAUCUGGAUCAGGAUCUAGUUAUACAUUAACCAUCAGAGGAGUGACAGAAGAUGAUAUAGCAGAUUAUCACUGUCAGCAGAGUUAUAUUACUCCUCUCACACAGUGA